GUUACCCCAGGGAGAGAAUGAUCUGCCCUGAAAGUUGGUAGUGCCAUCUAUUUACUGGGCUGGCAACCCAGAUGAGACAAAGGGGAGGAAAGAAAUAGCUGGCUAGCACAGGCAGGCUGCUCUCUGAUUCCUGGCUGCCAUGAGGUAAGCGGCUCUGCCCUCCCCCAUUGCUGCAUGGUACACCAUCUCCAUGGGUCCAUAAACAUCAGAGUCAGAUGAUCACAGAUGCAAACCUUAAGACAUAAGUUAAAUAAAUAUCUCCUUUUUAACUUGUUUUCUAAGAUAUUUGUAACAGUGAUGAAAAGCUGCCUGUUCCAAGUCACUGCGUAGAGACAUUUUCUCUUUAUAAUGGGCAGACAGCACACCUUCCCUUUGUUGCAAAGGGAGGACCUUUCUAUCUCUUUCCCAAGACUGUUCACUAUAUACGUAUCCUUGAAAAUAUCCAUCCAUAAAAGAGAGUGGCAGUGUAUCCAAGACAAGCAGACAGGUGAAAACCCAGUGCACCAUUUCUAAGUCUUCAUGACCUCUGGCCUCCAGCCUCCUCACCUCAUGCUAUCACGACAAACUGUCUGUAGUCCCACAUUGUACAUUAUACUUCCACAGAUGAGGCCGUCCUUUCUUCCUUCUGAACCACUUCAGAUCUACUCAUUAAAAUUGCUUAAAUGUCUCUGCCCCUUGGGAAACUUCUUUGUUAGACUAAUAAUUCCUCAAAUGUCUUGAGAAGAGUGUAUGUUAAAUUUUUCCCAAGUGCAGAUUCCUUCAGUUUCCAACAUCAUUUACAACUGACAGGUGUCCAACUGAACUUUGGCAAACUUAGAUUUAGAUGUGGCUGAUUAUUUCUCAUUUGAGCAUCUCCCUUACAUUCACAGGACUCUGGAUUAGAUAUAUCAGCAGAUUGGGAGGCAUGCCAAGUCUGGUGGAAUUGUCUCAGAACAGUUGUGGACUGUGAGUCAUCACUUCUGUGCAGCCUGCUCUUUUCUGCCAUGAGCUACAUCCAAGAUCUUCUCUCUCUUGUGGUACCCUGCUCAUCACUGUGUAGUGGGAUUGAUUCUACAGGCAGAUCAUUCCUUCUAUCACUUUUCCACAUGCUGAUUUCUUCCAUGCCUUAAUGAGAACCAGAUGACAGCUGCCUUGUAACAACCACUGUCUUCCCUCUUGGGGCCAGGACAAGACUUCUGAGUCAAGGUGGUGCAUAAUUGGAGCCCUAUUCCUGGAGCACAGAGUUUCUUUGGAUGUUGCCCCAGGAUUGGCUUUCCUGACAUUUCUUUGACCUGACAGGAGAAAU
rnacentral:lncRNA from 1 species